rnacentral:rRNA from 1 species
CACGUAGGAGGCGAGCGUUGUCCGGAAUCAUUGGGCGUAAAGAGCGCGCAGGCGGCCCGGCAAGUCGGGUGUGAAAUCCCGGGGCUCAACCCCGGGACUGCAUUCGAUACUGCCGGGCUAGAGGUAGGUAGGGGAGAUCGGAAUUCCUGGUGUAGCGGUGAAAUGCGCAGAUAUCAGGAGGAACACCGGUGGCGAAGGCGGCCACCUGGACGGUCACUGACGCUGAGACGCGAAAGCGUGGGUAGCAAACAGG